GCUGGAGUGGCGGAAUUGGUAGACGCGUACGACUCAAAAUCGUAUAUCGCAAGGUGUGAGGGUUCAAGUCCCUCCUCCAGCA
rnacentral:tRNA from 1 species